UUCCAGCGGGAACAUGUUUUCCCCAAAAAUUACAAAACCCCGUUGUACUUGGUUUCCCUCCUAUCCUAUCGAAAAUUCCCACCCGUGACCUAAGUCCCUAAUCUCCAUGGCCGACGUCGCUAUUAAUACUGACUAUAGCCUCCAAAUCGUCGUCGUUCAGCCACAGCAACUCGCCACCGCUGCCUACGUCCAUUGCUUCUCGUCGUGUUCUACCCAGUCAUCAUCGAUUUAGGUACAAAAUGAAGCUUUAUCUAUGACUGAAUGGAAGUUGUCCUCUUUCUACUUUCCCUAAUCAUGCUCAAAUCACUCUUCUGCACGAAUCAUAAUCAGAUUCGAUUUCAGUUAAUCCAUUUCUAUCCCUAUACAAUCGAUCAUAGGUUUGCCCCGUCAAGAAUGUUUUUCAAUAUUUAUAUAAUACUUUGCCAGUUUAGAGAUGCACAACUAGUGCUCGACGAAAUGCCUGAAUAUAAUAUGUCUGCAACUCUGCCCUUCACCCCACCCCCGCUCCCUGUAUUGCCGAAAAAAGUAAUACACAUUACGAAAUUUUAGGUGUAAAACCACUUUCUAGAACUCGUUCUUUUUUCCAGGUCAAACCCCUGGUAAAAAAUAAGGACUUUUGAUUUAUAGUACCAGGUUGCUGCUUGCGUUGGUUUCUUCUUUGCACUUCCACAUUCCACAAUUUUUUGCGUGAACAGAGAAUAAGGAUACUUAUUUUACCAAGCAAGAUCCCAACAAAUAUCAUCCUUGUAUGCAUGAAUCCACAUGGUUAUGUUCACUUAAUCGAAUUUUUUGGAUUCGGGUAAUUUCUUGACCAAAAUUUUGGUCCCUUGAUCAUCUGUGAAGUUAUCAAGAACGAUGGAUUGAAGAUGUAGGUGGUUUUGUUCCGGUUCUCGGUUGUUUAUGUUGCUAGUAGCUGAGCAUGUGAUGGUACAGAACAUAUGCAAACAGGAAGGUGGGCAAUGGUGGUGUUUGGUGGUUGGAGUAAAAAUGAAUGGAGCAGAUAGUGGUAUUUGGCUGUUUAUGUAUUUAGCAAACAUACAGAUUGGAUUGGAUUACAACUCUAUUGAUCUCUCAAGCACCACAACAGAUUUAUGCAGUGAGUUCUGUAAAAGGCUUAAAGGGUUUCUUGCAACAUGGCCUCCUUCAAGUCCCCAACCUCAUAUCAAUGAACUUCUCAGAUCAAAGGGAUUUUUUAAUCAUAGUUUCAUGUUAUAAUGUUAUAUUUAUUAAGUUUUGUAAU